rnacentral:rRNA from 2 species
CGCGUCUUGGUCAAUGAUUUUAGGUGCUUGCACUUGACUGAUUUGACAUUGAGACGAGUGGCGAACUGGUGAGUAACACGUGGGUAACCUGCCCUUGAAGUAGAGGAUAACACUUGGAAACAGGUGCUAAUACUGCAUAACAACGAAAACCGCCUGGUUUUCGUUUGAAAGAUGGCUUCGGCUAUCGCUUUAGGAUGGACCCGCGGCGUAUUAGCUAGUUGGUGAGGUAACGGCUCACCAAGGCAAUGAUACGUAGCCGACCUGAGAGGGUAAUCGGCCACAUUGGGACUGAGACACGGCCCAAACUCCUACGGGAGGCAGCAGUAGGGAAUCUUCCACAAUGGACGAAAGUCUGAUGGAGCAACGCCGCGUGAGUGAUGAAGGGUUUCGGCUCGUAAAACUCUGUUGUUGGAGAAGAACGGGUGUCAGAGUAACUGUUGACAUCGUGACGGUAUCCAACCAGAAAGCCACGGCUAACUACGUGCCAGCAGCCGCGGUAAUACGUAGGUGGCAAGCGUUGUCCGGAUUUAUUGGGCGUAAAGCGAGCGCAGGCGGUUUUUUAGGUCUGAUGUGAAAGCCUUCGGCUUAACCGGAGAAGUGCAUCGGAAACCGGGAGACUUGAGUGCAGAAGAGGACAGUGGAACUCCAUGUGUAGCGGUGAAAUGCGUAGAUAUAUGGAAGAACACCAGUGGCGAAGGCGGCUGUCUGGUCUGUAACUGACGCUGAGGCUCGAAAGCAUGGGUAGCGAACAGGAUUAGAUACCCUGGUAGUCCAUGCCGUAAACGAUGAGUGCUAAGUGUUGGAGGGUUUCCGCCCUUCAGUGCUGCAGCUAACGCA